ACUACGGGUGGCAGCAGUGGGGAAUAUUGCACAAUGGGGGAAACCCUGAUGCAGCGACGCCGCGUGAGUGAAGAAGUAAUUCGUUACGUAAAGCUCUAUCAGCAGGGAAGAAAAUGACGGUACCUGAGUAAGAAGCCCCGGCUAACUACGUGCCAGCAGCCGCGGUAAUACGUAGGGGGCAAGCGUUAUCCGGAUUUACUGGGUGUAAAAGGAGCGUAGGCGGUGUGCCAAGUCUGGAGAGAAAUGCGGCAGGUUAACUGCGGAACUGCUGUGGAAACUGGCGAACUAGAGUGGGCGAGGGGUAGGCGGAAUGCGGGGUGUAGCGGUGAAAUGCGUAGAUAGUAGGAAGAACCCCGGUGGCGAAGGCGGCGUACUGGCGCGUAACGGACGUUGAAGCUCGAAAGCGUGGGUAGCAAACAGGAUUAGAUACCCUUGUAGUC
rnacentral:rRNA from 1 species